rnacentral:lncRNA from 1 species
AUUAAAAUGAAUUUAGGUAAAACAGUAUAGUAAAAGUUUUGAAACAAUUGAAAUCCCUUUGGAAAACCAUUAUAGUGUCCUACUCGGUUAAACAAUGUACAAUGUGGUAAAAUCUUGUGCAUGCGGGUUAUCAAUCACAUGUGAUUGAUAUGAUAACUGGCAUGUUUAACUUGUAUUCCCCCCUAUAAAACAUAUAAAAGCAUUUAAAAGGUUCAUUCAGGGGUAUGAACUCACCUGGUGUAAGUAGGUCCGACGAAGGUGCCGUUUGGGCGUUCGGUGUCACGCAAGGACUCGAACACACACAAUGACCUAUUUAACAUAUGAUAACAUAUGUUCACAUACAAUUAGUAUAUUUAAUACUAAUUAAACAAAUAUACGCNAGCAUUUAAAAGGUUCAUUCAGGGGUAUGAACUCACCUGGUGUAAGUAGGUCCGACGAGGGUGUCGGUUGGGUGUUUGGUGUCACGUAAGGACUC